rnacentral:SRP_RNA from 1 species
GCCAGGUGUUGUGGCAGGCACCUGUAGUCCCAGCUACUUGGGAGGCUGAGGCAAGAGAAUCGCUUAAGCCCCAGAGUUUGAGGUUGCUGUGAGCUGUGACGUGACAGCACUUACUGAGGGCGACAUAGUGAGACACUCUCAAAAAAAAAAAAAAUCAUUAAUAUUACCACUGAUUUUAUCAGAAUUUUUUUUUUUUAAGGGACAGAGUCUCACUUUGUCACCCUUGGUAGAGUGCUGUGGUAUCACAGCUCACAGCAACCUCCAGCUCUUAGGCUUAGGCGAUUCUCUUGCCUCAG